rnacentral:snRNA from 1 species
GUGUAGCUUUUAGCGUAUGCAGGCGCAGAAAUGCAAGCACGGAGUGCGUUAAGCAUUUGGGCGGAGCCUGCGACAAAUACGCGUUAAAAAAGCGAGAACGGUCA